UGCUGUUUAUCCUUCUCUAGUUUUUUUUUUCUUCUCUUUCCUCUCUCAAUUUUUUUUUAAAAAAUACCAAAUUGGAGGACGUAGGCCUUAUAGCAAACAGGAAAAACUGAAACUCAACAACAAUGAACUUUAUAUUCAAUAUUUUAUAGUCAUUUAUUAAGUUAUAAAACUUAUUUACUUUUUCUGCUGCGCCGAAAUUGUCAUAGUGUUUUGAUGGAUACACAAUUAGUAAGCCUUGUUAUAAUUUUAGUAAAUCUUGUUAUAAUUUUCGCUCCAGGCCUCCAAAAUCUCAGGACUGCCUCCAUUCCCUCCAUCUCCAAGCUCCAAUCCUCCGGUCACUUACUCGGCUUGCGUUUUGAUAUGAGAAGUGCCGGUUGUAUUUCUUUCGUGGGUCUUCACUCAUUUGUUGCCAAAAGGAAGUGUUGUUUUAGCAGAGAAUGACUUGAGGUCUGCAUAUACGAUCUAACCAAACAAGGACUUGAGGUCUUGAGCUAUCCGAACUGCAAACGAGAUCGGUAGUACCGUACACUCAAAGCUUCGGAGUCAUGUUUUAGUGCAAGAGGUAGAAUUGUAUCUGAGAGAAGGGCCAACUUGAGUCCAAAUACAAUAGAGGCAUUGAUUUGCUUGAAAGAUUGGAGUUUGGCAAAAUCAAGGAUGCAAGAGGCUCAGCGUGAAGUGCAGCUAGCUGAAGAAAGGAGACUCAUUAGAGAAGGACGACCAGAUUGGAUGGGAAAUAGUGAAGAUAAAGCUGAAAAUGAAUCUGAUAAUGAUUCUGGAAAUGACUCUGGUGAAUAGGUGAGACAAGUUGAAUCCCAUGAGCUUUCAACCAAUCUCCAGCCUUAAUAUUCAAAACCUGACCUUGAAGAACCUGAGCUGCACUAUCAGAUUGUUACUGAUAUGGAUGCCAAAGUCAAACACAUGAUCAAACUCAUUGAAGAAGAUGCAGAUUCCUUUGCUAGAAAGGCAGAAAUGUAUUACAAAAAACGCCCAGAAUUAAUUAAAUUGGUUGAAGAGUUCUACCGAGCAUGGGGAAUGGUUUUGGACUUUUCGUAUAGUCGCCCAUUCCCUACACUUUGUAUUUUUUGUAUUUUUAUUUCAA